UACGUAGGGGGCGAGCGUUGUCCGGAUUCAUUGGGCGUAAAGCGCGCGUAGGCGGCUCCGCAAGUCGGAUGUGAAAUCUCCCGGCUCAACUGGGAGGGGUCAUUCGAUACUGGCGGCUCGAGGCCGGUAGGGGGAAGCGGAAUUCCCGGUGUAGUGGUGGAAUGCGUAGAUAUCGGGAGGAACACCAGUGGCGAAGGCGGCUCCUGGACCGGUUCUUGACGCUGAGGCGCGAAAGCUAGGUAGCAACGGG
rnacentral:rRNA from 1 species